AGAGCGAAGUAGUUGGGGCACGAGAGCAAACGUUUUUAGUUCUGCGCUCUUUGCUGAGCGCGCAUGCUUUUUGCUGAGGCAGCGAAUUUCGCGUGGGAGCUGAGAGCCAAAAAGCGUAGUAGAAUUGGCGGUUAGUAGUAGACGGAUACUAUGUGACGGAGAAGCAGUGUUGACGAUGGGAAGUAACGGAAAUUUCUGGAUAUUUUUGAAAAUGUAUAUUUCCGCUUUAAAUUUGAUAAAUAAAAUGAAGGGUAAUCACGGUACCCGGUUGUUUAAGAAACAUUUUUUUAU
ensembl:ncRNA lncRNA:CR44733 long non-coding RNA:CR44733